rnacentral:tRNA from 1 species
CGGGACGUAGCGCAAUUGGCUAGCGUACCUGGUUUGGGACCAGGGGGUUGCCGGUUCGACCCCGGCCGUCCCGA